rnacentral:rRNA from 1 species
GACGAACGCUGGCGGCGUGCUUAACACAUGCAAGUCGAACGGAAAGGCCCUGCUUUUGUGUGGUGUCCGAGUGGCGAACGGGUGAGUAACACGUGAGUAUCCUGCCCUUGACUUUGGGAUAACUUCAGGAAACUGGGGCUAAUACCGGCUAGGAGCUCCUGCUGCAUGGUGGGGGUUGGAAAGUUUCCGCGGAUGGGGAUGGACUCGGGGGUUAUCAGCUUGUUGGUGGGGUAGUGGCUUACCAAGGCUUUGACGGGUAGCCGGCCUUAGAGGGUAACCGGCCACAUUGGGACUGAGGUAGGGCCCAGACUCCUACGGGAGGCAGCAGUGGGGAAUAUUGCACAAUGAGCGGAAGCCUGAGGCGAAAGCGCCGCGAGCGGGAGGACGGCCAUCGGGGUAUGAACCGCUUUAACCUGUGACGAAGCGGGAGUGACGGUAAUGGGAAAAGAAGCACCGGCUAACUACGUG